rnacentral:rRNA from 1 species
AAUUUAUUUUAUUAAAAUGGAUUUUCUAAUUUUUGAUUUGUCUAGGUUUAAUAGAAAAAGUUCUGUGGGGAUGAGCUGGCAGAAUUUAUUUAUAUUUUUUCUUUUUAUUAAUGACUAGUAGGAGUAAAAUUUUCUUUCUUUUUAGUAUUUUAUAAUUUAUCAUUAGUUAAUUAUUAUUUUUUAGUAAUUAAAUUUUUUAUAAAAGUAUAUAUAUUAAUUUUUAAUUUUUAAUAAUAAUUAUGUAAUUAGUAAAAUUAUUUUUAAAUUUAUUUUGUUUAUUAAGGUAAGUUUAAGGAAUUCGGCAAUUAGUUUUUCGCCUGUUUAAUAAAAACAUGGUCUUUUGAAUUUGAUUUAAGAUUUGACCUGCCCACUGAGGAUUUAAAUGGCCGCGGUAAUUUGACCGUGCGAAGGUAGCAUAAUCAAUAGUUUUUUAAUUGAAAGCUGGAAUGAAUGGUUGGACGAGAAAAUUACUGUCUCAAGUUUAUUUUUUUUGAAUUUUAUUUUUGAGUCAAAAAGCUUAAAUUUUGUUAAAAGACGAGAAGACCCUAUAGAGUUUAAUUUAUUUAUUUUAAAUGAUUUUAAGAAUUAGUUUUAAAAUUGAUAAAUUUUGCUGGGGUGGUAUUAAGAUUCAAUUAACUCUUAAAUUUUUAUUUUCAAUAAUUAUUGUUUUAUUAUGAUCCAAUUUUUUUGAUUAUUAGAUUAAAUUACCUUAGGGAUAACAGCGUUAUUUUUCUUGAGAGUUCUUAUCGAAAGAAAAGAUUGCGACCUCGAUGUUGGAUUAAAAUAAAC